rnacentral:rRNA from 1 species
GAUGAACGCUGGCGGCGUGCCUAAUACAUGCAAGGCGAGCGAAUGGAUUAAGAGCUUGCUCUUAUGAAGUUAGCGGCGGACGGGUGAGUAACACGUGGGUAACCUGCCCAUAAGACUGGGAUAACUCCGGGAAACCGGGGCUAAUACCGGAUAACAUUUUGAACCGCAUGGUUCGAAAUUGAAAGGCGGCUUCGGCUGUCACUGAUGGAUGGACCCGCGUCGCAUUAGCUAGUUGGUGAGGUAACGGCUCACCAAGGCAACGAUGCGGAGCCGACCUGCGAGGGUGAUCGGCCACACUGGGACUGAGACACGGCCCAGACUCAUACGGGAGGCAGCAGUAGGGAAUCUUCCGCAAUGGACGAAAGUCUGACGGAGCAACGCCGCGUGAGUGAUGAAGGCUUUCGGGUCGUAAAACUCUGUUGUUAGGGAAGAACAAGUGCUAGUUGAAUAAGCUGGCACCUUGACGGUACCUAACCAGAAAGCCACGGCUAACUAUGUGCCAGCCGCCGCAGUAA